AUAAAAAAAAGAAAUUCAAGAAAUGGUUCAGUUGCUUGUUUGUUUGAAAGAAAAGCUGUAUACAAAAGUGAAUGCAAUGCAGUGGUUCAUACAAAACAGCGAGAGUGCUGCUUGUUCUAGUCAUGUGGUUGUGACGUCAUCGUAAACAAAUCUGUUCUACUCAUCCAGACGACUUCGCAACGGCGCCGUUGCCAGAUUUUUCCACUCUGGAACCCGUUCUCGUUUUGGGGCACCCAAAACCCCGGUGCCAUGUGGAUGCCAGGCCGAAACGAUAAACAAUUUUAUCAGAUUCACCUGAAUCUGUUGCCGUGUGGACAGCCUCUAAGAGUCUGACAUCGUUUGUGGGAAGGAAAGCACAUAUUGAGGCAAGUUGCAGACUGCUGCUGAGACUAAAGAUGACCACAGUAUUCUGGUACACAUUAAGGACAAAGACUGUGUGGCUCUGGAGGUGCAGUACCACAAGAGCUGCUAUCAGCAGUACACCAGAUUUCUGAAUGAGCCUGCUAGACAAGAGAAGGACAAGUCAUUGCCUGGAUGCUGACCCCUGCCUUUUUGCACCAUGCCACAGGACUUUUAUAUAUUUUUAUAUUUUUAUUUGUGUAUAUAUAAAUUUGCAUUUGUAAUGUGUAUAUAUCACUUUUGUUGUUUACAUUUUCUAUUAAAGUUUGCAAUUUGCCACAUAGUUCUGUUGUA